UGUGAAGGAUAUAAUAUAUGAGAUUCCAAAGUCUAAUGGUGGAGAUUCGAUUUCCUUUUUCCUAGUAUGUUCUCCCAGACACCAGAGGAGCACUGGGGCAUUGGGAAGAAAAAGAAGAAAUAAGGUGGCGCCAGUGGAAUAAGUGAGACAUGUCUCUGCAACCAGAUUAUAACCCAUGGUACGACUCCUGUUUCCUCAACCCACCUUUUCUACAAAGAGGCAACCAAGCAACUGACCUCUAGCAGCAAAGGAAAAUGAAGUAGAGGACGUUUGUUCAGACUGGAGACACCCUGAUUAGGGAGAUGCGCUGGUGCUUUGGGUCUGAACUGUGUCACUAUCGGAGAUCCCCCGUAGCAGGCAGGGAGAAGUAAGAACUCUGGAACUCCCUAACUCCCCAAGCUCUGGGGCUGCUGAACUCAACCCCCCUGCUCCCUUCUUCUCAUGGCCUGCCAUCUCAAUAGCCCUCUCCCAACCACUCACCUUGGCUUCUCCUCAAAAGAGUCUACGGGAGAGGAGGGAGGAGCACAAGUCUGCUGGGGACCUGGAAAGCAGAAAGGAAAUGUCAGGGGAUGGGAACAGGAGGCCCCUCACCCCACAGCCUGGCAAAUCCCAUCAUCUUUGCCUUUCUCUGGCUCAACCCCUCACUGUCCUUCAGCCUGGUUAUCCUCGGGAACUAAUGCGAUCCCUUCUCCCCUCCCUUCUCCCAGACAUCUACCCUCAGGAUCAAAGUUUUAGUCCCAACAGCAGCAAGUUGGUGUCCUGAAGGUGGUUAAGCCUUGAGUCUUAAUUUCCCUCUCUCUUUCAGAUACCAGUCUGGGAGAUAAUCUCACCCCUGCCCCAAGGUCCUUUCCAUGCAUUUGUUCCCAGUUUAUAGAAAGUAUGACUUAAUGAAUAACUCUAAUUUCCAUAAAUCACUAGAGUUAUCAGUCCCACUCUGCUGGAAAAACUCCUAGAGCAUGUGAAAGUGAUUGUAUGGAUACAUCCAUACAGUCAGAGGGUACACCACACACCAUGCAUCCCCAGCCAGACACACCCAUCACACACAUCUCCUUACAGGGGUUCUCUCCCUCUCCCUCUGUCUCUGUCUCUCUCCCUCUGUGUCUGUCUCCCUCUCUGUCUCUCUGUCUGUCUCUCUU